ACGGUUGAUCAUUGAGCAUAUUGCAUUGAUCGCUCGAUACUCGUCGCAUUUCACGAACACUGGCGGUCUGAUCCACCGCAAGGGGUGUUCUUUUCCGAAAAAGUGGUUGCAGGUGUCAACCCGUGAGCCCUAGAGGGGUUAUAUGCAUGGUUGAGUGGCAGUGGUACUGUUAGGAGGUUUGCGGUGCAAACUUCCAGGGCAUAGGCUUGAGGUUUGCGGUGCGGACCAACAGAGCAGCAGAUUCCAGAUUGGGUAUAUUUGGUCUAUACAUCCGGUUGAUGCAUAUGUCUAUAGUAGCAGUCGUUGCAUGCAUACUUACAGUUCUUGCCUUAUAGUUGUCUUGCUACUAU
rnacentral:lncRNA from 1 species